rnacentral:tRNA from 1 species
GGCAGGAAAAGUUUUGGUUGUGAUUUCUAAUCUUAAGUCAGGGAGGUUUACGACCUUCCUCUUGCCU